rnacentral:snRNA from 1 species
GGCCGUGAGGGUGACCUGGCUGUGACAUCUGUCACCCCACUGAUCGUCAGGGUUGAUGCAGCUGAUCUGGCUGGCCAGGCGGUGUCCCCUUCCUCCCUCAUGACUCCAUGUGUGUCCCUCCUGAAACCACAUGCUUGGUUGAAGAGGGUGACCAUCCCCCACAGAGGAAGACUAGUCUCUGGUCAAGGGUAUAUGAGUAGCCCGCUCCCCUGCUGAUACCUCCAAACCAGCUCUCAAAAUAGAUGCUCAAUAAAUAGUUGUGGAUUGAAAAAGAAAAGCACCUGGUAAUGCUUG